rnacentral:rRNA from 1 species
UCCAAUCGAACGCGGAGAUAGCUGGUUCUCCCCGAAAUAGCUUUAGGGCUAGCCUGAGGUAGUAAGUAUAGGCGGUAGAGCACUGAUCGGGCUAGGGGCCGUAAAGGUUACCGAACCCUGUCAAACUCCGAAUGGAUAUACUGUAGAGCCUUGGAGUCAGACUACGAGUGAUAAGAUCCGUGGUCAAAAGGGAAACAGCCCAGACCACCAGCUAAGGUCCCCAAUGUCGUACUAAGUGGAAAAGGAUGUGGGGUUUCAUAAACAACCAGGAUGUUGGCUCAGAAGCAGCCACCAUUUAAAGAGUGCGUAAUAGCUCACUGGUCGAGAGACCCUGCGCCGAAGAUUCCCGGGGCUAAAGUACGAAACCGAAGCUGUGGCUGUAUACGUAAAGUAUACGGGGUAGGGGAGCGUUCCCAUAGGGUAGAAGUCGAACUGGAAGGUUCGGUGGACUUGUGGGAAGUGAGAAUGUUGGUAUGAGUAGCGAAAAGAAAGGUGAGAAUCCUUUCCACCGAAAGCAUAAGGAUUCCUGAGCAACGAUCGUCGUCUCAGGGUAAGUCGGGACCUAAUCCGAGGCAGAGAGCGUAGGAGAUGGACAACUGGUUGAUAUUCCAGUACCGGUAGUAAUUGUUUGAGCAAUGGAGUGACACAGAAGGGCAGGCAAGCAUGCGAAUGGAAGAGCAUGUGUAAGCGUGUAGGGUGGUGCAUAGGCAAAUCCGUGCACUGAAAGCCUGAGGCGUGAUGCGGAGUGAGCAGAGAUGCGAGCGAAGUUGUUGACCCCACACUGUCGAGAAAAGCUUCUAGUGAGAGAGCUACCGCCCGUACCGUAAACCGACACAGGUAUGCGGGGAGAGAAUCCUAAGGUGCGCGGGAGAACCCUCGUUAAGGAACUCGGCAAAAUGUACCCGUAACUUCGGGAUAAGGGUAGCCACUGUUGUGAAGUCCCAUGCGGAUGGAGCAUAGAGUGGUCGCAGAGAAGAGGCCCAAGCGACUGUUUACCAUAAACACAGGUGCCUGCUAAAGCGAAAGCUGACGUAUAGGUGCUGACACCUGCCCAGUGCCGGAAGGUUAAGGAAGGAUGUUCGGAGUAAUCCAAAGCAUUCGACUGAAGCCCCGGUGAACGGCGGCCGUAACUAUAACGGUCCUAAGGUAGCGAAAUUCCUUGUCGGGUAAG